rnacentral:rRNA from 1 species
AUUGAACGCUGGCGGCAGGCCUAACACAUGCAAGUCGAGCGGAUGAAGAUAGCUUGCUCUCUGAUUUAGCGGCGGACGGGUGAGUAAUGCCUAGGAAUCUGCCUGGUAGUGGGGGAUGACGUUCCGAAAGGAACGCUAAUACCGCAUACGUCCUACGGGAGAAAGCAGGGGACCUUCGGGCCUUGCGCUAUCAGAUGAGCCUAGGUCGGAUUAGCUAGUUGGUGAGGUAAUGGCUCACCAAGGCGACGAUCCGUAACUGGUCUGAGAGGAUGAUCAGUCACACUGGAACUGAGACACGGUCCAGACUCCUACGGGAGGCAGCAGUGGGGAAUAUUGGACAAUGGGCGAAAGCCUGAUCCAGCCAUGCCGCGUGUGUGAAGAAGGUCUUCGGAUUGUAAAGCACUUUAAGUUGGGAGGAAGGGCAGUAAGUUAAUACCUUGCUGUUUUGACGUUACCGACAGAAUAAGCACCGGCUAACUUCGUGCCAGCCGCCGCCGUAACAC